rnacentral:rRNA from 1 species
AUUGAGCGCUGGCGGCAUGCUUUACACAUGCAAGUCGAACGGCAGCGCGGGGCAACCUGGCGGCGAGUGGCGAACGGGUGAGUAAUAUAUCGGAACGUACCCAGAAGUGGGGGAUAACGUAGCGAAAGUUACGCUAAUACCGCAUACGAUCUACGGAUGAAAGUGGGGGACCUUCGGGCCUCAUGCUUGUGGAGCGGCCGAUAGCUUAUUAGCUAGUUGGUGAGGUAAAGGCUCACCAAGGCGACGAUCAGUAGCUGGUCUGAGAGGACGACCAGCCACACUGGGACUGAGACACGGCCCAGACUCCUACGGGAGGCAGCAGUGGGGAAUUUUGGACAAUGGGCGCAAGCCUGAUCCAGCAAUGCCGCGUGAGUGAAGAAGACCUUCGGGUUGUAAAGCUCUUUAGUCAGGGAAGAAACGGUCUGGGCUAAUAUCCUGGGCUAAUGACGGUACCUGAAGAAUAAGCACCGGCUAACUACGUGCCAGCCGCCGCAGUAAAAC